CCUCAGAGUAAGAGGAGAAAAAGGCCAAGGGUGGUAGAGCAUUUAGGAGUCUCAAUAUGUAAAGGGUGGUUGGAGUUUCAAAGAGCUGAGAAAGAACUUGAUGAGGGAUGGCAGAGAGGUAGGAAGAUCAGGAAAGUGAUGUCCUUUCCAAGGGAGAGAGCUGUGAGAAGAGAAUGGCAACGUGUUGAAAGCUGCAUAGAGGCCAUGUGCAUGGGGAAAGCAGGCUCUGGCAGCCAGAUAAAGUCCUCAUGUAAAGACAGGAGAUGGCAGCUGGAAGUUGGAUGAAAGUGAUGAAAAUGUUUGCAUUACUUUAAGAGGACAAUGAUACACAUUCAUGAAGCAACGUUAUGUAGGGCUCUAAGAGUGUGUAAUAGGGACAUUUUACCCAGUCAGGAGAUCAAGGGAGGGUGCCCUGAGGAGGUGACAUUUGAGCUAAGAUGGGCGGAAUGAAAAAGAGACACUGAAGAAUGAGCUGUGGAAGGAACAGAGAGUUAGAAGCUAGAAAACUACAUGGAGAACCAUACAACUGCGGUGUCAUAAAAGGAAACCACCUUUCUCCCCUUUGGAGGAAAACAAGAAGAGCCUCUGGCAAGUGGUGUGGAUAGAAUCAGCAAGUCCGUAUUCAGCCUUCAUCUCAAUAAUUUCUGCAACUCUGGGCAAUAUACCUGAUUUUAGGAAAGCAGUGGGAAAAUCAAUAUCUUGAAGCUUGCAACCAAUAAAAUACCAGAAGUGGCAAUUUCA